GGAUGACACUUUUCGGAGCGUAAACUCCUUUUGUUAGGGAAGAACAAUGACGGUACCUAACGAAUAAGCACCGGCUAACUCCGUGCCAGCAGCCGCGGUAAUACGGAGGGUGCAAGCGUUACUCGGAAUCACUGGGCGUAAAGGGCGCGUAGGCGGAUAAUCAAGUCUCUUGUGAAAUCCAAUGGCUUAACCAUUGAACUGCUUGGGAAACUGAUUAUCUAGAGUAAGGGAGAGGUAGAUGGAAUUCUUGGUGUAGGGGUAAAAUCCGUAGAGAUCAAGAAGAAUACCCAUUGCGAAGGCGAUCUGCUAGAACUUAACUGACGCUAAUGCGCGAAAGCGUGGGGAGCAAACAGGAUUAGAUACCCUGGUAGUCCACGCCCUAAACGAUGUAUACUAGUUGUUGCUUUGCUAGUCAAGGCAGUAAUGCACCUAACGGAUUAAGUAUACCGCCUGGGGAGUACGGUCGCAAGAUUAAAACUCAAAGGAAUAGACGGGGACCCGCACAAGCGGUGGAGCAUGUGGUUUAAUUCGAAGAUACGCGAAGAACCUUACCUGGGCUUGACAUCUAUGGAAUCUCUUAGAGAUAAGAGAGUGCUAGCUUGCUAGAACCAUAAGACAGGUGCUGCACGGCUGUCGUCAGCUCGUGUCGUGAGAUGUUGGGUUAAGUCCCGCAACGAGCGCAACCCACGUAUUUAGUUGCUAACGGUUAGGCCGAGCACUCUAAAUAGACUGCCUUCGUAAGGAGGAGGAAGGUGUGGACGACGUCAAGUCAUCAUGGCCCUUAUGCCCAGGGCGACACACGUGCUACAAUG
rnacentral:rRNA from 1 species